GGCUUAUAAUUUUAACAAAACCUGUGGUUUGAGAGGUCCUAAAACAAGCUUACAAUGAUGAUGGCUGACUCAGUAGGCUGCAAAUUCUCUUUCUACUCUCAUUAAGAGAAUAGGGUAUACUCAAAGUAAGACUAAUGAGUAAAAAAUUUAUCUAAGUUAGUCAUGACAAUGCUGUUUCUAUGCCAGAGUUUUAUUUCUCUGAAAAGAAACUUGAGCUAACUUUAAUAAAUACAUUUAGGUGUCACGCAUUUUAAUUUAACCUUAUAAAACCAUGACUAAGAUGAGCUACAGGUAUUGUAUCAAUGGCAAUUGUAUUAUUUCUCAUUCUGGGGGACUUGCUGUUGAAUCUAGUGGGUAUACAAAGAAAAGAAUAUAACAAAAAUAGCAAAUAGAUACACAGAUAUCUAAAUGCCAAAGACCAAGGCUAAAACUAGUAUGAGAUCUGUAUAAUUACACAGAGAUUUCCACAAACAUACUGUAUAAUUAUUAACAGACAAGAGCAAACAAACAAGAAAGCCCAAACACAGUGAUUUUAAUACCUGCUCAGGAAAUCGCCUGCCUGAGAAUAAAACUGUGGUCUGUGUUAGUUUCAUUCAAAUUAUUUUCAUUGACAUGAUACAAAAUGCAGUCAUUUCUUGAGUCCAUAGUUCUCUAAAGCAUAGUGAGCUGAAUGUGUGUCAUCCCUAUCAGUUAACUGCCCUACCUAUCAUUUACUGCCUUCUGUCACAGGGGCACUGCAGCCUCCCCAGCUAAUGUGCUCAGGGCAUACUCCUAGAGACUUUUUCUCAUUGAGCAAUUCUCUUUUGAUAGGCUUUCUAAUUUAGACACCUUACAUGCUUUCCCAUCCAGAGUGACUACAGUUUUCUGUUAUUCCAGCAAUAUUUUUUUUUUUACUUUCAUCUCUGACUGAGCCACCUGAGGAAGUGAAGAGAGGAGAGAAGACAAUGCAUCUUGUUAGGGCAGGAAAGUAGGGAAAAAACAUCCUCUGAAGAAUUAAAGCCAGCAUGGAUCCUGAGAGCUACCACAUUACAUAGAACAAGCUACCACAUUACACAGAACAAGAACUGGAGAAAGGGUAACAGGAGCAGAAAUCACUCCAGUUCAAAAGACCUGUCUGUCCUACUCAACUCUGAGUGUCAUGCUGCUUCUGCUGGAAUGAAUGGUUCAUCCAAACUGCAGGUGCUGUUAGACCCUGAGCCUAGGUGCAGGCAGUGGCUGCAUUCUGUGGUGGAAUAAGGUGAGCUGCAAUUCAAUAUAAUUUUCUCUCUUCCUCUAUCUUUAUUUUCUGUACUCCAGUUUAGACUGGAAGACGAAACAUACGUAGGGAGCAAAGUCAGUGUGUGCUGUGCAUGAGGAUAGCUGACCUGCAGGAUCAGUUACAAACUGCUCAAGACUGUUAGUCUAAAUGCAGUCCAGGGAGAGAUAUUAAUGAAUAUAAAUUCAACAGAAUAUAAUCAGUGAAGGCUACCUUUCCAAUUUCAUCACACUUUUGUAAGGAG
rnacentral:lncRNA from 1 species